rnacentral:tRNA from 1 species
GCCUGGGUAGCUCAAAGGAGAGCAUCAGACUUUUAAUCUAAGGGCCCAGGGUUUAAGUCGCUGUUCAGGCG